GUGAAUUCAAAAACGUUCACUAAAAGAUAAUUCAUUUUAAUAGCAUACUUUUCUCUCUACUGGCACAAAUCAGUGAAUGCUGAAUCUAGAUACGUGUGUUUAUUGAUGGAUAAGGAAAGCAGAGAACUCUUUUGUAAAGUAACAGAAUGGAAAACAGUGAAAUUUGUGAAUGUUCAAAUAUAAUUGGGUUUAUCCCCUUCUGGGCAAUAAAGAAAUAUAGUGGAGUGGCACAUGUAUGUGCUACUUUCGGAGAAACAAAUGGAGAAGCAAUAUAAGAAAGGAUAAAUAUUGUAGACUUAAAAAGGAUAGAAAAAAUAUGGCUUGGACGUGUUAAAAGGACUCCCAAGUUAAAAGGAAGUAAAAAAUGCAGCUUCAGGUGGGGCAAGCAGCACAUUUUCUUCUUUCAUUUUCAUAUAUCAUUCAUAUUACCAUAUGUCUAAUUUUAUUUCAUUUAAUUUUUAUAUAUUUUGCGUUAUGUGUCCCCCACAUGUAUUUCUGUUGUCCUCCCUUUCUUGGCAAUAAAGAAAUAAAUUUAUGAGCAUCAAGAUACUAAGCCAUUGAGGGAUUUAAAGUGAAAAGAUAAAAUAAAAAAAUAAAUGCACCCUUUUAAAGCCUAGCCAGGCUCAUGGGUCCGGUUUCUUUGACGUAUGUAUUCCCCAGCUGGACAGGACGUCAGUCCAUCGCAGCCUUACUCAUUUUUGCCAGCUGAGUGGACUGGAGCAACGUGAAAUGAAUUGUUUGGCUCAAGAGCACAACGCGUCGCCCGGUCUAGGAAUCGAAACUACAAUCAUGGUGCUGACACCCUAACCUCUAAGCCACGCGCCUCCACAACGUGAAAGAUACCUUAAAUAUUUCUGAUAGCAGAUACGCAUGCGCAUUAAACGUGCUUCCUACUUGUUGACUUCCGGUCAAAUCUCCUUUGAAUGAAUUUCUGUUAAUCAGCUGAUAAUAAUAAUAAUACGUUUAUAAUUCUUAAAAUAUGGACUUAUAAUGCAUUUCUCAUACACACAUAUACAGCAAUACUAUCCUUUAGGAAAUAUUUCCGUAAGUAUUCAAUAUAUUUAAUUCUGGAGACUUUCGGUUUUUGGCGCCUCGAUUCUUUGUUUCUUUUCUAUGUUUUAUCAAUGAGAAAUGUCCUUGAUGUGUGCAAGAUUUGGUUGCUAUUUCUAGCUACGAAAGCGAUAUGUUUAUGAUCUGUUCGAGCUUUGGCUGCUAUUUCUAGCUAUAGAAGCUACCUUCUUCCCUCUCCGUCGUUGCAGGGUUAGAUUGUUCUGUGUUUUAGUUUGAGAAAUAUUCUCAAAUACACUCCAACCACUGAAAUGUUUGGAAACCAAUACUUUAUUUUAAUUUAUCGAUGGGGUACUACUAACAAAGAUUGGACCCGGUGCACGCUCACGCGCAGUCGCGUGUCUGCGCUGUCUAGUUGUAAGUAGUCGAUCCUACAACGACUUGCGCGUAUGCAAAUGAGUUGUGUUGUAGGUUGGAAGACAACCAAUGGGUCUAAUUAAUGAUCAAGACACGCACACACACACACACACACAUAUAUAUAUAUCUGAAUGAUGUACCUACUAUGGAUGCUGUCCAAAAACUAAAAACUAGUAAAAGAAUAUAUCACACACAUUUUAUUUGAUUUGUGUAAAAAAAUCAUAUACAUUGUUCUAAGAAAUAAUUUAUUUACUUUCUUUAAAAAAUUAUUUUAUUCUGUAAAAUCAACUCAUUUGCAUACGCGCAUGUCGUUGUAGGAUCGACUACUUACGACUAGCUUGCGCGUGUGCGCGCACCGGGUCCAGUCUUCGCUAGUGGUACCAUCGAUUGUUUCUCAGUAUUACUAUCGAUCUGUGUGCCCAACUAAUUAGUAAUUUGUUUCCUCAUAAUUUUCAGAAAAAUGGGUAAUAUGAAAUUAAAUUUUCUGAAAGUGUCUUUUCAGAUGGUGUAGAUAAGGAUUAUGUUGGAAUUUGUUGUGAAAAGAAAAGUUCAAAUUUUAAAAAAUACUGGAAAAUAAGGUGGAGUGUCGGAUUAACUCAUCCACAUAAGAUGGAUAUUAUUCGUUUUGAGGGGUAUUUUUUUUUCAAAUUAUCUUGGCCCCGCUUUUAAAAAUAAUGGGAGUUGGCGAGGUCUUAUAUGAAAAAGUUAGGAAAAUCUGAUUUCCACCCGCUUACACCGUACACCAUUACACUUCUUCGGUCUCAUGUAAAGGAUAAAAGGAAUGGAUGAUUUUGUUUUUGUUCGUGUAAUAACAUAAAGUUUUAUUUUGGCAACAUAUUUUUAAAGGGCGAUGUUUCGUUACAAGAACACUACAAACCACGUGUAUUUGUUUACAUAUGAUCGUCGAUUUCCGUAAAAAACAUUUAUUUUUUUACAUAUGGGCUUGCGGGAACUUUUGAAGUAAUGAAAGUGAAAGAGACUAAGAGAAAGCGAUUGUAUGACGAGGGAAGUUCUUUUGAAGUUACUGUGCAUGGGAAGCAUUGCUGUACAUGCGUGUGUGUGUGUGUGUUUGAUGGGGUGUGGGAGACAGAAAGUAUGGUGUGUAAGUGAAGUGCUUCUGUUAGUGUGUGUGUGUGAAAAGACAAAGAGAGUAAUGUGUGAAAGAGAGAGAUAACUGAAAUUUUUUACUCAGUUUUUGUAGUGCGUGCGUGUGUAUGCAUGUGUGUGUAUGUAUGUAUGUGUGUGUAUGUAUGUGUGUGUGUAUGUAUGUAUGGCCGAUUCAGUGUUUACAUUAUUUCGAGUUAAAAUGUACCUUUGCCUGUUUAUGUAACGGUCUGCUAUGUAGAAAAUAAUGAGGUUGACUCAAUGGAAUAAUGACAGUGAUCGAAGAUAUAGACAAAAUGUUUUUUAUUUAAUCGUUAUAUGUGCCUUGUCGACUGCUACUGUGCAGCCUUAAUGUCUCUGUUGAUGUGACGAUGGUGAAAUGGUAAGAAAAAGACGGGAGAGUUAUAAAAUGAGGAGGAAAUAUCCUUCUCAUGAGAAAAGAGUUGCCUGCAAAGAAAAAAAAAGUUAAUAGUCUAUAGAUGUGCACAGAAACUGGGUGCAAGCAUGCAUAUAUAUGCAUGUGUAAACAUUGUGUUGUGCAGCAAAAGGAACGAACAGUACAAAAUGUGUAACGAAAAGUGACAAAAUCUGAUUGGUAAUGUCCUGUGUGAAAAGUGAGAAAAGGUUAGUUCUCUUGGUUGGGUAGCUGUCCUAAGUGUUGCAUUUAUGUAUGGCAACUGUUUCCCUCGUGGAUCUGUACAUCGGGUUGCAGUACAUGUGGAAUGUAAUUGGUGUGUGUCCAUUGAGUCGGUGACUUCAUUCCUUUCGUGUUGUGUUGGGCGUGUGACGAUGGAACUGAAAACUAUGCGUCGUGAAAGUUCGUGUCCUAUAAUUCUUGUUGAUGCGACUGGCACGGACUGUAAUUGUUUUCAAGAGUUCAUGCGAUGCUGAAACAGUAAGUCUUUGAAGUCGAGCUCACCAAAUGUAAUGGAUAAGGUAACGAAGACUGCAGUUCUGUGGCUCGGGGGUCAGCAAUUGUGGCAGGGUUGUUGUGUUCGAAUCACGUUGUGGGUAACCAGUUGUAUCGUUGUGGUUGAUGUAUUCUAAUAACGUCGGUCUGUCACCAAUUGUCGAUGAUCGAUGCUGACAAUAGAGAAUGUGAAGGUGGCAUUGUCACUUCUUCAUUUCGGCCGACUGUAGAAAAAGAGGUAUAUCACUGUGACACCUAUUGUUUUCGUGUGGUGUCUGUGUAGACGCGGAAAAGUUUUAAGUCAAACUGAAAACACAUCAAUUGACUUAGCAAAUCUAUGUGAUGAAACUCGAAAUAAUGUAAACACUGAAUCGGCCAUACAUACAUACACACAUACAGAGAUACAUACACACACACAUACAUGCAUAUAUACAUACACAUACAUGCAUACACACGCACGCACUACAAAAACUGAGUAAAAAAUUUCAGUUAUCUCUCUCUUUCACACAUUACUCUCUCUGUCUCUUCACACACACGAACAGAAGCACUUCACUUACACACCAUACUUUCUGUCUCCCACGCCCCAUCAAACACACACACACACAUGUACAUCAAUGCUUCCCAUGCACGGUAACUUCAAAAGAACUUCCCUCGUCAUACAAUCGCUUUCUCUUAGUCUCUUUCGCUUUCAUUACUUCAAAAGUUCCCGCAAGCCCAUAUGUAAAAAAAUAAAAGUUUUUUGCGGAAAUCGACGAUCAUAUGUAAACAAAUACACGUGGUCAUUUGACAUAAAGUAUACUAGAACCGUAAGUUUGCCUUUUACUACAUGAAAGAGAAAACAUUAAAAGUAUAAAAGAUGAAAUUAUCGAGAGAAUACAACGGAAUUGCCUCAUCAACGAAACGGAAAGAAAGAAGUGGGGCUGAAUGGGUUUAAUUUUUUAUACUUUUACUGUUUUUUCUUUCUUUCAUUCCUGCAAAAAUCUGUUGUUAAAUGAAAAUCUAUAUUCUAUGAAAGUAAAUUGUCCUUCAAAAAGUGUAUUUUACGAUAGAAACCGGAAGUGACAACAGUAAUAUACGAAUAUUUUAUGAAACGUUUGAUAUUCAAUUGGGGUGUUCCUGGGUGGGUCUCGGCAACUUGUAUAUCCCCAUUAAAUUGUCAAUGAUUCACUUCUUGACAAUGGGAGAUGAACUUUUAUUUGUUUCACUCACUUGAAUGUUGCUUCGCUGGAGCACCGCCUUGAAGGGCUUUAGAGAGAAUCGACCCCAAGACUUACCGUCGAAACCUAAUACUAAUUGUUAAUUUAUUGGGAUUCCCAUGUCUUCUUGGGUGUCCCACUUCUUAUGUUCCGUCUUCUUUGAGAGAUCGGCAUUUCUUUCUGGAACCAUUGGCAUCCAGGUGAGUUGUUAAGGUAAAUCUUUAUUUCUACAGUUUCUCUCAAUAGAAAUGAAUCUGUAUUUUUUAAGUGGCCUCUACAUUUUACACUGUUGUUUCUCUAUAAUUUCAGAACAUCAGAUACCAGAAGAAGCAUCCUUAAUAUCUAUCAUAUUUUAAUCACUAAAGGAUAAUAUUACACCAAAGGGAUGUGUAACAUUGUUUCUACAAAUCAGUGGAAGACUUCUUGUGAAACAUUUGCUCUGAAAUAAUAUAAUUAUCCAAAUUUCUGAACAGUACUGACUAGAGUGACAAGAAAAAGAGGUUGUGUGCUGGUUCAAGUUGGAUAAAUUUAUGAAAGUGUUGCUAAACAAAGGUAACACUGGACAGAAAUACUGCAGUAGAAGUGUAUGUA
rnacentral:lncRNA from 1 species